rnacentral:rRNA from 1 species
GACGAACGCUGGCGGCGUGCCUAAUACAUGCAAGUCGAACGCUGAAACGAGGAGCUUGCUCUUCUUGCGUGAGUUGCGCACGGGUGAGUAACGCGUGGAUAACCUGCCUGGUAGCGGGGGAUAACUAUUGGAAACGAUAGCUAAUACCGCAUAAAAUGGAUUAUCGCAUGGUACUCCAUUGAAAGGUGCAAAUGCAUCACUACCAGAUGGACCUGCGUUGUAUUAGGUAGUUGGUGGGGUAACGGCCCACCAAGGGGACGAUCCCUAGCCGACCGGGAGGGGGGACGGGCAACAUGGGACUGGGAACCGGCCCCGGCUUCCUAGGGGGGGCGGAAGUGGGGAAUUUUGGCAAAGGGGGGAAGGCUGGCCGGGGAAAGCCGGGUGGGGGGAGGAGGGUCUCCGGUUCGAAAGAUCCUUUGUUAGGGAAGGAAGAGUGUGGGAGUGGAAAGUUCACACUGUGACGGUACCUUAACAGAAAGCGACGGCUAACUACGUG